GACGAACACUGGCGGCGUGCUUAACACAUGCAAGUCGAACGGAAAGGCCCUGCUUUUGUGGGGUGCUCGAGUGGCGAACGGGUGAGUAACACGUGAGUAACCUGCCCUUGACUUUGGGAUAACUUCAGGAAACUGGGGCUAAUACCGGAUAGGAGCUCCUGCUGCAUGGUGGGGGUUGGAAAGUUUCGGCGGUUGGGGAUGGACUCGCGGCUUAUCAGCUUGUUGGUGGGGUAGUGGCUUACCAAGGCUUUGACGGGUAGCCGGCCUGAGAGGGUGACCGGCCACAUUGGGACUGGGAUACGGCCCAGACUCCUACGGGAGGCAGCAGUGGGGAAUAUUGCACAAUGGGCGGAAGCCUGAUGCAGCAACGCCGCGUGCGGGAUGACGGCCUUCGGGUUGUAAACCGCUUUCGCCUGUGACGAAGCGUGAGUGACGGUAAUGGGUAAAGAAGCACCGGCUAACUACGUG
rnacentral:rRNA from 1 species